rnacentral:siRNA from 1 species
UAGCAAACUACUAUGUAUGGUUAC